AACGCACAUUGCACUGUUUGGAACCCCGGACAGUAUGCCUGUUUGAGUAUCAGUAACUUCUCAACAAUAUUCUUUGUUGGUUAUGGCGGGAUAUCGAUUUAAUUGAUACUUGCUAAAAUACAGGAAGUCGAAUAGCAUUUGCAUUCCAGCUGACAGAGCAAGUCUGAUUACAGACGUAACUGUCAAGCUGCAUGUGUUAGUGACUCUGAAAUCUUACACCAUUGAUCUCAAAUCAGGCAAGAGUACCCGCUGAACUUAA
rnacentral:misc_RNA from 1 species